CCAACAUGGCUAGUCGAAAAGUCACGAAGUGCAAAGAAGGAGCCGAUAAAUAUUUUGUUUUAUUACCCUCUUAUAACGAGAGAGAGAAUCUACCUUUACUCGAGUGGCUGCUGGUCAAAUAUUUUGGUGAAGUGUUCACAUACUCGUCUGGUAGAUAGCUUGGUCAACUCUGUUGCUAGUGUAGCUGCCUCUGCAUUUAGUGCAGUGUUAUCGAAAUGAAAAGUACGGAUCUACUGUCUACGCUGUGGCAGUUAUAUCAUGGGUACAGCUACGAGGUGAUUGUAAUUGAUGAUGGAAGCCCAGACGGGACUCUGGAGAUUGCAAAAGAUCUAUGGUUCAGAUAAAAUUGAACAGCCUACAUACAUGGGAUGCAGCACGCCACUGGAAACUCCAUUAUAAUCAAGGAUGCUGACCUUUCCCACCACAAGACAGAAAGACGGUAAUUAGACAUAGUGUCUGGGACUCGAUACAACGGAGAUGGAGGUGUGUAUGGCUGGGAUGUAAAAAGAAAAGUUAUCAGCUGAGGAGCAAACUUCAUUACGCAGAUACCGCUGAGACCAGGCGUGUCAGAUUUAACUGGCAGUUUCAGGCUCUACAGAAAAGAAGUGCUUCAAAAACUGGUGGAAAAAUGCGUCUCCAAGGGAUAUGUGUUUUCAGAUGGAGAUGAUUUUUCGAGCAAGACAGCUGGGAUACAGCAUUGGAGAGGUUCCAAUUUCGUUUGUUAUCGUGUUUACGGAGAAUCCAGACUAGGAGGGAAUGAAAUCGUCUCCUUUGUUAAAGGGCUCCUGACACUGUUUGCCACGACAUAGAUCUGUGCUGACUGGCUCUGGAUAAAGCACUGUCAUUGUUUUGAUUGUCUUUAAUUGGAACAGUUUGAGUAAGCAAAUCAAUUUGAAAGUGACUACAGGAAACAAAGGCUCGUGGUUACCUUUUUUUACUUAAUUAAAAAAAAAAAAAUAAUUGAAUAACCAAUAAUUCUAAAUAGCAAUGUAUUCCAAUAAAAAUACCAUUUAAUGCACUUAAUUUGUAAACAGAGAGAUAAUUUGAAACUGUGUUGACAACAUUCCCCAAACAGUUAACAGAUAUACAGAGAUGUGUCUAUCAGGCAUGUUUAUAUAGCCACUCCCCCACUGCCAGUGUGCAGAAUUGAAGCCAGGCUUGUAUUUUACUGUUUUCACACUUGAAUAAAAUGAAUCCAGGAGCUGGAGAUGAGAGUUGUUAAUGCAGCUUUGCGCCAUGUCCUUUUCACACUAGAAACUAAUCCCAGAUUUGAUGCGGUUUAGUUUUUCUUCAGUGUGGACAUACUAAAGCUGGAAUUGACUCGGCGGUAAAGUUAUUUGAGCUGCGCUCGUGUGUAAAGCACAUCUUUACAUGCAGGACACAUGCGCAAUCGAAAACGUAAGUUGCAUUACUUGUUAAUGUAGCUUAGUUUGUUUUCUCACGAUAAAGCAGGGUAAAAUUACCCUUGUUUUUUAUGCAGAUUCAAAACUACCACCAAAGAUUAGUCAGUGGCACUCGGACGCAUUGAACAAAACAGGUUGCGAGUCUGGCUUCAAUGUGCUCGCAACACCACUCUGAAGAGCUGUGUGAUCACUAAGGUUUCAUUAGUGAUCACACACCAUAUUAAUAUCCAGAGAGUGGACAAUUAGGAUGAGUAAUAAUUUAAACAUUAAAACCUUAGACAAAUAAACAUCAGAUUGCACCCCAAAUAUAGGUGUUACCCUUAGUUAACAGUGUAGGCCAGUUUAUUUUAUAUUCAAUAAUGCUUGAGUCAGUUUAGUCCUUUUAUAAAAAGGUGAUGGAGGGCUUCUUAUUGGGAAUGUUUUGUAACCAAUCAGAAACACCCUCAUGUUAGUGUAAAUGUUUAGGAAAUUACACUAACACCCCUAAUUAGGUCCCCCUAUUCCAGCAGACUGUAGUGGCAGAUAUUUGUAUAUUCUCUAAUAUCUCCCCUGUUCUGCAUUAAACUGAUUAGAUGACACUUGAUGUACACAUUUCUGAAUAGCCCUGGUGCAGUGUAGCUUUGAAGAUCCUAGAUCACUGUCUGCAUCCCCAAGUCGGGAUCUCUUGGGGCUUGCUUGGUAUGUGUCUAUUAAUUUAAAUGAUUUUCUGGUAAUCUAACAUACAGCACCUGCAGACCAAAAAAUGUAUAUAGAAUUAGUGUUUGAAAACAGCAAAUGGAUACUCUGAAUCUACCAGCAGCGCUUACAUAUUCCAGUAAUUAUUUUAAUGUUGCUUCAAAGAGACUGCGCAAACUUGACAGCAUGCAAAGUUCACUUUAUCAGGUGUCCACCAAUAACCAAGCAAAAUAAUACCAAUGACUGUUUCACUGUGAGAAACUGCUAUGAUUGUGCUGCUUGUAUAUAUUUCAGAGCAUUGUAAUUGUAAUAAUUAGCUUACCUGUAAAUGUUUCAUCUAAUCUUAAAGUAGAUACAGUCUCCACCAUUUACACCGCACACGGUUAUUUCAGGCAGCCGUUUAUAUUGGACAAAUAGAGUUCGCCAUUCCCAUUGAUUUCAGUAACAAAGGCAUUGUUUAUACCGUGUUGGGCAAACUCAGCUUUUUGGAUCUCUAUCUGUGCACGUAGAUUUAAAUAACAAAUGCACUGCUUAUACUGUAGUAAUCACUCUGUAGUAAUCCUUGUUACCUUACCACUCACAUAGAUUUCAAUACAAAAGGCAGCACUUUACUGUAGUUAAAAAAGCUUGACAGAUCGAUCAAUCGCUGAGCGAUUACCACGUACUGUACCAUGGCUAUUUAAUCCCUGUACAGUGUCAGCUUUAAAGCAUGUUUGGAACUCUGUCAGUUAAAAUGUAACAACUAAAGCAAAGGUUUACAAUUUUAAAAAGGCAAACUAAGAAGGAAUGAAACAGACUGACAGAAGUAGAUUGGAGUAAA